rnacentral:lncRNA from 1 species
UAGGCUGAAGUUGAUCAUAUGGCACUUGAAGGUUGUUGAACGUCUCAACGGAUAGAACAUUGAGCCCUGUGCCGCCAUCGAUGAGGGUCCUGGUGACUUGCACAUUGCUGAUGACUGGGGAACAAAGCAUCGGGAGGACGCCACUGGUACCCGCACACUUGAGUUGAUCUGCUGAGCUGAAGGUGAUGGCGCACUUGGACCACCUGAGCGGGCGCGUGGCCUCAAGCCUGGGGAGGACUGCAUUCACCUCGCGAGCAAACUGCUUGAAGAUGUGCUGAGAGGAUGGGGCUUGAGCUCUUCCCAAGAUGCAAGCGAUAGCAUGUGGCUCCUGGAAGCCCCCAGCCCCCUCGUCCUGGUGGUGGUCGUCAUUCCUUCUUGGGGGUGGCGGAAGAGGGGGAAGGACUGCACGGGAGAGCCCCCUGUGGCAUUGACGAGCUCGGUGAUGCGAGCGAGCCACUCUUUGUAGAGGUCGUCGACGGGGCGAUAGUGUAGGAGCUCACAUGCCAGGAGUAGCAUGGCCUGCGCAUCCGUGGGGGCGCGACCAGCGUGGGACGACGAACCAGCUGGGGUCAGCGUCGGAGUGGCAGUGCGGCCUUCCCGCUGCACCAGGGGGUGUAGCGAAGAUGCUUGCUGCUCAUUCCUCAUCGGGCUGGUGGUGGUGUUGGCGGCAGGCAACGGAUAACGACGAGGAGGCCCACCAACGGGAGCCGUCUAGGCGACGCAGGCGGCGAGAGCAGCCCGGCACAUGGCGCGGGCUCGGCGAGCGUCUGCCAUGGAUGCGACGAAGCGAUGGGAUGCGGAUCAGCGGAAAGAAUAUUUUGGCGCACCCUUACCUGGCAGGCCAAAUGUUGGAUAUCGGGUUCCGACAAAACCCUUAAGGUUCGAACACUGGGGUGCGCACGAAGAUCUCUCCCUACCGAAACACGCCCUCAGCCUCGCCGCGAUCCCUAAGCUAGAUCAAAGAACAACAGAAGGGACACAAGAUUUAUACAGGUUCAGGCCACCGUUGUGGUGUAAUACCCUACUCCUGUGUGUGGUGUGGUGGAUUGCCUCUUGGGCUGAUGAUGAACAGUACAAGGGAAGAAUAGCCUCACGAGGAGAGGUGUUCUUGCGUUUGGUGGUGUGCUUGAGGAGGCAUCGAUCUCCCUCUCUAUGGUGGUAGCUAGAUCUAUUUAUAGAGGCCCUGGUCCUCUUCCCAAAUAUUGAGCGGGAAGGGAUCCAACAACGGCCAUUUUGAAAGGGGACAACUAGUACAAGCUAUCCUGACUAAAGGUGGUCUUCGCCUGCCAAAGGCACUGGUGGUGACGCCGUCUUGGGCUCCAUGGUGACCUCCGUCCUGCCGUCCUGCCGGCCUUGGUCCUGAUGCCUCGGUACUCCGCGCCUGUGCUUGCCCCUUUGAACCAAAGUGGAAACGAGGACACUGUGCGAGCUGGCACCCGCCUGGUCUUGAUUGUCAUGGCUUGCGUCAUGGGCACCUCGCGAGGUACCCCUUGCCUUGAUCUCUCCGCCUCCUCGCGAGCCUGCCUGGUGAGGCCACCCCUGAGGAGGCCGCGCAUCGUCCGCCCUGCGAGGCUUGGCCCCUCGCGAGGGUCUUGAGUGUUGGUUGAUGAAGAUGAGCUGUACAGGGCCACUGGUUGAGCCGCACUGCAGGACGCAGGCGGACAAGUCUAGGGACCCCAGUUCCCAGAACACCGACAAGGAGGGCGGUGAGAGGAGGGCUGCCGGCGGAGGGCUUGGCCGGAGGAGGAGGGCAGCGACGGGAGGGGAGAGGAGGGCGGCGAGAGGAAGGGGAGAGGAGGCCAGAGGGGGAGGGAGGAAGGAAGAUACACUGGUGGGCGAUGGUGGCGACGGCGUGCGGCGGAGUGCGAGUGAGAGUGUGAGGGGAGAGUGAGGAUGUGCGCGGGCGGGGCCAUGUGGAUAAGUUACUCGUAGUAGUAGCGUUGGUCUGUAACCACCGCUACUGCUAACACUACUAGGAAAACGGCUAUAGCUAAUAUAGACAUUAAUGGCGCACCAUGUAUGUGGUGCGCCACUGUUAUAUAGCAGUGGCGCAUCAGAUAUAGGUACGCCAUUAUUGGCCACAUUACUAAUGGUGCACCUAGUGUGUGGUGCGCCAUUACGAGUUUUGAAAAAAAAGAUUAAAAAAAUUGCUAGCAGUGGCGCACCAGGGGAUAGUGCACCAUUACUAUUUUUAACUAGUAAUGGAGCACUAUCCACUGGUGCGCCACUACUCACAUGUUUUUUUAUUUAUUUUUUUCAAAACUAGUAAUGGCGCACCACACACCAUGGGCGCCAUUAGUAACCCUGGUUACUAAUGGCGCAUUCUUAGGUGGUGCGCCAUUGGUAACCUGGGAGCAGCUAGAUAUUUUGGACAGCCACCUACCACACUCACUUUCCUCACUUCAUUCUCUCCACCUCUACCAAGCUUGGUCUCGACUUCCUCCUCCUCCUCACCUCAUUUGCACCAUAGAUUCACCCAAAUUAAGUGGUUAAAUUUCGUUUAUUUGAUAGGUAAGUAAGGGGAAAGCUUUCUUUAUGUUCUAGAUCUACUUUUUUCUCCCUCCAACAACGUACACACUUUUUAUGGCCUAGAUCUACGUAUGUUUGUGGUGUUGCAUAUGUUUCUGUUUGCAGGUACCGGUAUUUAAAAUGCGAUAGUUGCCAAUAUUUUUCCGGAAUGUUGAUUCAUUUCCGUUUCGGCGAGAAUUUGGCACUAUGCAUUCUUUUUGGUCCUAUUUUUAGGCAAAGUCAUGCCAAAUUUUUUUGGUUCUAAAAUAUCGUUUUGCUCUACCCUGCAGGCGACCAUCGUCCGCACGAUGGCUGAAGGCAUCGCGAAUAAGUUUUUGAGCUCCGUGAAGGACGAGAUGCUUCAAAAGAACGAGACGGAGAUAAGAUGUCCGUGUCGAAGAUGCAAGCUGAAGAGCCUUAUGGACCCGGAUUCCGUACAGGUGUGAUGUCUACUACACAACCUUCUCCUUGUAGACGUUGUUGGGCCUGCAAGUGCACAGGUUUGUAGGACAGUAGCAAAUUUCCCUCAAGUGGAUGACCUAAGGUUUAUCAAUCCAUAGGAGGCGUAGGAUGAAGAUGGUCUCUCUCAAGCAACCCUGCAACCAAAUAACAAAAAGUCUCUUGUGUCCCCAACACACCCAAUACAAUGGUAAAUUGUAUAGGUGCACUAGUUCGGAGAAGAGAUGAAGAUACAAGUGCAAAAUAGAUAGUAGAUAUAGGUUUUUGUAAUCUGAAAAUAUAAAAACAGCAAGGUAACAAGUGGUAAAAGUGAGCGUAAACGGUAUUGCAAUGAUAGGAAACAAGGCCUAGGGUUCAAACUUUCACUAGUGCAAGUUCUCUCAACAAUAAUAACAUAGAUAGAUCAUAUAACAAGCCCUCAACAUGUAACAAAGAGUCACUCCGAAGCCACUAAUAGUGAGAACAAACAUAGAGAUUAUGGUAGGGUACGAAACCACCUCAAAGUUAUUCUCUCGGAUCAAUCUAUAAAAGAGUUCGUACUAGAAUAACACCUUAAGACACAAAUCAACCAAAACCCUAAUGUCACCUAGAUACUCCAUUGUCACCUCAAGUAUCCGUGGGCAUGAUUAUACGAUAUGCAUCACACAAUCUCAGAUUCAUCCAACCAACAUAAAAGUACUUCAAAGAGUGCCCCAAAGUUUCUAUCGGAGAGUCAAGAACAUGUGCCAACCCCUAUGCAUAGGUUCCCAAUGUCACGAAACCCGCAAGUUGAUCACCAAAACAUACAUCAAGUGGCACAUGAUAUCCCAUUGUCACCACAGAUAAUCACGACAAGACAUACAUCAAGUGUUCUCAUAAAGACUCAAUCCGAUAAGAUAACUUCAAAGGGGAAACUCAAUUCAUCACAAGAGAGUAGAGGGGGAGAAAUAUCAUAAGAUCCAACUACAAUAGCAAAGCUUGGGAUACAUCAAGAUCGUGCCAUAGAGGAACACGAGAGAGAACAUGAGAGAGAGAGAGAGAUCAAACACAUAGCUACUGGUACAUACCCUCAGCCCCGAGGGUGAACUACUCCCUCCUCCUCAUGGAUAGCACCGGGAUGAUGAAGAUGGCCACCGGUGAUGGGAUCCCCCUUCGGCAGGGUGCCGGAACGGGCUCCCGAGAGGUUUUUGGUGGCUACAGAGGCUUGCGGCGGUGGAACUCCCGAUCUAUCUUCUGUUCUGGAAGUUUUGGGGUACGUAGGUAUAUAUGGGUGAAAGGAAUAUGUCGGUGGAGCUACGGGGGCCCCAUGAGGCAGGGGGCGCGCCCGAGGGGGGGGGGCGCGCCCCCCACCCUCGUGGGCAGCCCGUAUCUCCCCUGACGUGCACUCCAAGUUCCCUGGGUUGCUUUCCUUCCAAAAAUAACUUCUCCAGUUGAUUUCGUUCCGUUUUGACUCCGUCUGAUAUUCCUUUUCCUCGAAACACUAAAAUAGGCAUAAAAUAGCAAAUCUGGGCUGGGCCUCCGGUUAAUAGGUUAGUCCCAAAAAUAAUAUAAAAGUGGAUAAUAAAGCCCAAUAUUUCCCAAAACAGUAGAUAAAGUAGCAUGGAGCAAUCAAAAAUUAUAGAUACGUUGGAGACGUAUCAAGCAUCCCCAAGCUUAAUUCCUGCUCGUCCUUGAGUAGGUAAAUGGUAAAAAAGAAUUUUUUAUGCGGAGUGAUACUUGGCAUAAUUUCAAUGUAAUUCUUCUUACUUGUGAUAUGAAUAUUCAGAUCCGAAAGAUUCAAGACAAAAGUUCAUAUUGACAUGAAAAAUAAUAAUACCUCAAGCAUACUAAUCAAAGCAAUCAUGUCUUCUCAAAAUAGCAUGGCAAAAGAAAGUUCAUCCCUACAAAAUCAUAUAGUUAGGCUAUGCUUCAUUUUAGUCACACAAAGAUGUUCCCAACUUCUAUACCCCCGAUGACAAGCCAAGCAAUUGUUUCAUACUCAAAUAAUCUCAAACUUUUUCAACCUUCACGCAAUACAUGAGCGCGAGCCAUGGAUAUAGCACUAUGGGUGGAAUAGAGUAUGAUGAUGGGGAUUGUGUGGAGGAGACAAAAAAAGAGAAAGUCUCACAUUGAUGAGGCUAAUCAACGGGCUAUGGAGAUGCCCAUCAAUUGAUGUCAAAAUGAGCAGUAGGGAUUGCCAUGCAACGGAUGCACUAGAGCUAUGAAUGCUCAACAAAAGAAAACUAGUGGGUGUGCAUCCAAAUCGCUUGCUCACGAAGACCUAGGGCAUUUGAGGAAGCCCAUCAUAGGAAUAACAAGCCAAAUUCUAUAAUGAAAAAUACCCACGAGUGUAAAAAGACAACUUAUGAUACUCACUACAUGAAGAACAAGGUGCUACUUUGAAGCACAAUAUAUGAGACUCACUAUAUGAAGAACAAGGUGCUACUUUGAAGCACAAGUGUGGAAAAAGAGAUAGUAGCAUUGCCCUUUUUUGGGCCUUUUUUUGCCUUUCUCUUUUUUUUGGGCAAUGCUCUAAUAAUGAUGAUCAUCACACUUCUAUUGAUUACGACAUGAGGAUUACAACUCGAAACUUAGAACAAGAUAUGACUCUAUAUGAAUGCCUCCGGCGGUGUACCGGGAUGGUGCAAUGAAUCAAGAGUGACAUGUAUGGAAAAUAAUGCAUGGUGGCUUUGCCACAAAUACGAUGUCAUCUGCAUGAUCAUGCAAUGGCAAUAGGAUAAAAGUAAUGUAUGUCAUGAUGAUGAUAAAUGGAGCGGUGGAAAGUUGCAUGGCAAUAUAUCUCGGAAUGGCUAUGGAAAUGCCAUAAUAGGUAGGUAUGGUGGCUGUUUUGAGGAAGAUAUAAGGAGGUUUAUGUGUGAUAGAGCGUAUCAUAUCACGGGGUUUGGAUGCACCGGCGAAGUUUGCACCAACUCUCAAGGUGAGAAAGGGCAAUGCACGGUACCGAAGAGGCUAGCAAAGGCGGAAAGGUAAAAGUGUGUAUAAUCCAUGGACUCAACAUUAGUCAAAAGAACUCAUAUACUUAUUGCAAAAGUUUUAUUAGCCCUCAAAGCAAAGUACUACUAUACAUGCUCCUAGGGGGAGAGGUUGGUAGCAGUUAACCAUCGUGCGCCCCCGACCUCCACUCAAGGGAAGGCAAUCAAAAGAGCACCCCAUGCAAUAAAUUUGUUACACAACUUUUACCAUACGUGCAUGCUACGGGAGUUGCCAACUUCAACACAAGUAUUCUUUAAAUUCAUAAUCACCCAACUAGCAUGACUUUAAUAUCACCACCUCCAUAUCUCAAAACAAUUAUCAAGCAUCAAACUUUUCUUAGUAUUCAACACACUCAUAAGAAAGUUUCACAUAUCUUGAAUACCAAGUAUAUUAAUAUUAAGCAAAUUACCAUGCUAUUAACAACUCUCAAAAUAAUCUAAGUGAAGCAUGAGAGUUCAUAUAUUUCUUCAAAAUAAAACCACCACCGUGCUCUAAAAAAUCUAAGUGAAGAACUAGAGCAAAAAUUAUCACGCUCAAAAGAUAUAAGUGAAGCACUAUGAGCCAUAACAAAAACUACUCCGAAAGAUAUAAAUGAAGAUCAAUGAGUAGUCGAAUAAUUAUGCAACUAUGUGAAGACUCUCCCAUUUAAUAAUUUUAGAUCUUGAUACUUUAUUCAAACAUCAAGCAAAGCUAAAGAAAACUACAUUGCAAGGAUAGCACAACUCAUGUGAAGAACCAAAAACUUAGGCUCAACCGAUACUAACCGAUAGUUGUUGAAGAAGAAAGGUGGGAUGCCUACUGGGGCAUCCCCAAGCUUAGAUGCUUGAGACUUCUUGGAAUAUUGUCUUGGGGUCCCUUGGGUAUCCCCAAGCUUGAACUUUUGUGUCUCCUUAAUUCCUCUCAUAUCAUGGUUUCUCUUAUUAUCAAAAGCUGCAUUCACAACAAACUCAACAAGAACUCGUGAGAUAGGUUAGUAUAAACCAAUGCAAAACCUUAUCAUAAUCUACUAUAACAAAUCACUAAAAUAAUUAUUCAACAUUGCAUACUAAAUGCCUCUGUAUAUUUAAUACUCCUAUCCUCAAAUGGAAUCAUUAAACAAGCAAACAUACGCAAACAACGCAAACAUAACAGCAAUCUGCCAAAACAGUACAGUCUGUAAAGAAUGCAAGAGUAUCAAUACUUACCUGACUCCAAAAAUUAUGAACUAAAAUUCCCACUGUAAUAAAUUUAUCAGAGCUCAGUAUGCAAAAAGAUUCAACAUUACACCACUCUCUGACUUUUCUAGGGAAUUUUUGCAACAGCGGUAAACUUUCUAUUUUCAAACAGCAACAUGUAUACUAGCAAAAUAAGCAUGGCAAAGGCUAUCCUUGACUUCUUUAUUGAAACUAAAGAUGCAAAACAUUAUUCUAAAUAACAGCAAGCAAAAACUAACAAAAGGAAAUGACGCUCCAAGCAAAACACAUAUCAUGUGGUGAAUAAAAAUAUAGCUCCAAGUAAAGUUACCGAUGAAUGAAGACGAAAGAGGGGAUGCCUUCCGGGGCAUCCCCAAGCUUAGGCUCUUGGUUGUCCUUGAAUAUCUUGGGGUUCCAUGGGCAUCCCCAAGCUUAGGCUCUUACCACUCCUUAUUCCAUAGUCCAUCGAAUCCUUACCCAAAACUUGAAAACUUCACAACACAAAACUCAACAGAAAACACAUAAGCUCCGUUAGUAUAAGAAAAUAAAACCACCACUUAGGUACUGUAGUGAACUCAUUAUAAAUUCAUAUUGGUGUAAUAUCUACUAUAUUCCUACUUAUCUAUGGUUCAUACCUUCCGAUACUACUCAUACAUUCAUCAAAAUAAGAAAACAACACAUAGAAAACAGAAUCUGUCAAAAACAGAACAGUCUGUAGUAAUCUGUAUCAAACGUAUACUUAUGGAACUCCAAAACUUCUACCAAAUUAGGACGACCUGAGGAAUUUGUGUACCAACCCAUAGCAAAAAGAAUCAGAUCAGAAGUACGUUUCUGUGAAUUAACAAAACUAAUUUACUGGGUGCAAAAGUUUCUGAAUUUCAGCAGGAUCAACACGACUAUCACCGUAAGCUAUCCUAAAGGUCUUACUUGGCACUUUAUUGAAACAAAACCUAUAAAACAUGAUUACUACAGUAGCAUAAUCAUGUGGACACACAAAAACAGUAAGGAUAAAUAUUGGGUUGUCUCCCAACAAGCGCUUUUCUUUAAUGCUUUCUAGCUAGGCAUGAUGAUGACAAUGAUGCUCACAUAAAAGAUAAGAAUUGGAACAUAACGGGAGCAUCAUGAAGCAUAUGACUAGCAAAUUUAAGUCUAACUCACUUCCUAUGCAUAGGGAUUUUGUGAGCAAACAACUUAUGGGAACAAUAAUCAACUUGCAUAGGAAGGUAAAACAAGCAUAACUUCAAGAUUUUAAGCACAUAGAGAGGAAACUUGACAUUAUUGCAACUCCUACAAGCAUAUGUUCCUCCCUCAUAAUAAUUUUCAGUAGCAUCAUGAAUGGAUUCAAAAAUAUAACCAGCACCUAAAGCAUUCUUUUCAUGAUCUACUAGCAUAGAAAAUUUACUACUCCCCUCAUAAGCAAAAUUCUUCUCAUGAAUAGUAGUGGGAGCAAACUCAACAAAAUAACUAUCAUGUGACUGAAAAUUAAAAUCAAGAUGACAAGUUUCAUGGUUAUCACUAUUCUUUAAAGCAUACGUGUCAUCACAAUAAUCAUCAUAGAUAGGAGGCAUGCUUUCAUCAUAGUAAAUUUGCUCAUUAAAGCUUGGGGGACAAAAAAUAUCAUCUUCAUCAAACAUAGCUUCCCCAAGCUUGUGACUUUGCAUAUCAUUAGCAUCAUGGAUAUUCAAGGAAUUCAUACUAACAACAUUGCAAUCAUGCUCAUCAUUCACAUAUUUCAUGCCAACCAAUCUAUGUAAUUCUUCUUCUAGCACUUGAGCACAAUUUUCCUUUCCAUCAAACUCACGAAAGAUAUUAAAAAGACGAAGCGUAUGAGACAAACUCAACUCCAUUUUUUUGUAGUUUCCUUUUAUAAACUAAACUAGUGAUAAAACAAGAAACAAAAAGAUUCAAUUGCAAGAUCUGAAGAUAUACCUUCAAGCACUCACCUCCCUGGCAACAGCGCCAGAAAAGAGCUUGAUGUCUACUACACAACCUUCUCCUUGUAGACAUUGUUGGGCCUGCAAGUGCACAGGUUUGUAGGACAGUAGAAAAUUUCCCUCAAGUGGAUGACCUAAGGUUUAUCAAUCUGUAGGAUGCGUAGGAUGAAGAUGGUCUCUCUCAAGCAACCCUGCAACCAAAUAACAAAAAGUCUCUUGUGCCCCCAACACACCCAAUACAAAGGUAAAUUGUAUAGGUGCACUAGUUUGGCGAAGAGAUGAAGAUACACGUGCAAAAUAGAUAGUAGAUAUAGGUUUUUGUAAUCUGAAAAUAUAAAAACAGCAAGGUAACAAGUGGUAAAAGUGAGCGUAAAAGGUAUUGCAAUGAUAGGAAACAACGCCUAGGGUUCAUACUGUCACUAGUGCAAGUUCCCUCAACAAUAAUAACAUAGAUAGAUCAUAUAACAAGCCCUCAACAUGUAACAAAGAGUCACUCCGAAGCCACUAAUAGCGGAGAACAAACGUAGAGAUUAUGGUAGGAUACGAAACCACCUCAAAGUUAUUCUCUCGGAUCAAUCUAUAAAAGAGUUCGUACUAGAAUAACACCUUAAGACACAAAUCAACCAAAACCCUAAUGUCACCUAGAUACUCCAUUGUUACCUCAAGUAUCCGUGGGCAUGAUUAUACGAUAUGCAUCACACAAUCUCAGAUUCAUCCAACCAACAUAAAAGUACUUCAAAGAGUGCGCCAAAGUUUCUAUCGGAGAGUCAAGAACGUGUGCCAACCCCUAUGCAUAGGUUCCCAAUGUCACGAAACCCGCAAGUUGAUCACCAAAACAUACAUCAAGUGGCACAUGAUAUCCCAUUGUCACCACAGAUAAUCACAGCAAGACAUACAUCAAGUGUUCUCAUAAAGACUCAAUCCAAUAAGAUAACUUCAAAGGGGAAACUCAAUUCAUCACAACAGAGUAGAGGGGGAGAAACAUCAUAAGAUCCAACUACAAUAGCAAAGCUCGGGAUACAUCAAGAUCGUGCCAUAGAGGAACACGAGAGAGAGAGAGAUCAAACACAUAGCUACUAGUACAUACCCUCAGCCCCGAGGGUGAACUACUCCCUCCUCGUCAUGGAUAGCGCCGGGAUGAUGGAGAUGGCCACCGGUAAUGGGAUCCCCCUCCGGCAGGGUGCCGGAAUGGUCUCCCGAGAGGUUUUUGGUGGCUAUAGAGGCUUGCGGCGGUGGAACUCCCGAUCUAUCUUCUGUUCUGGAAGUUUUAGGGUACGUAGGAAUAUAUGGGUGAAAGGAGUACGUCAGUGGAGCUACGGGGGCCCCACGAGACAGGGGGCGUGCCCAGGGGGUGGGCGCGCCCCCACCCUCGUGGGAAGCCCGUACCUCCCCUGACAUGCACUCCAAGUUCCCUGGGUUGCUUUCCUUCCAAAAAUAACUUCUCCAGUUGAUUUUGUUCCGUUUUGACUCCGUCUGAUAUUCUUUUUCCUCGAAACACUGAAAUAGGCAUAAAACAAAAAAUCUGGGCUGGGCCUCCGGUUAAUAGGUUAGUCCCAAAAAUAAUAUAAAAGUGGAUAAUAAAGCCCAAUAUUGCCCAAAACAGUAGAUAAAGUAGCAUGGAGCAAUCAAAAAUUAUAGAUACGUUGGAGACGUAUCAAGGUGCGGGACCACCUGCUCUUGCGCGGUUUCAUGGAUGGCUAUCGGUGGCAAGGUGAUGAAGAUGAUUAUGAAGUCGUCCAUGGGGGUCGAGCAAGAAAUGAGGAAGGGCAACAAGACAACCGCGGCGAGGGCGGGCGAGAAGACGAAGAAUCUCCAGGACAUGAUCACAAAGUAGAUGCAGUACACAGUCAUCAUGUAGAAGAUGCCAGACAUGAUGAUGAGGAAGAUCAAGACGAAGGGCAUGAUCAUGAAGAUGAAUAUGCCGGAGUAGACGAUGAUGGACCAUCGAUGGGCUGGGUGCAGGACCCUCAUAUUCAAGAGCUGCUUCUCAAGCAGACGGACAACGCAAGAGCUGCCGCCCGAGAGAAAGCCAAGCUGGAUCAAGUAGAGAUAGACGGGGUUACUCCAUUGUAUGAAGGAUGCAUGCCCGAGGAUACCUGCCUGAAAGUAACGCUCAUGACUCCAGAGAUGAAGGUAAAACACAAAAUGACCGACGCAUGCUUCGACGAGAACAUGUCAUUUUGGCACAAACGUCUUCCCAAGGGGAACAAGUGCCCGACCAGUUUCGAGGAGGCGAAGAAAAUCGUGUGUCCUAUGGAUUUACCGCACGUGAAAUACCAUGUGUGCAUGAACAAUUGCAUCAUUUAUCGAGACGAGCACGCGGAGUCUACCAUAUGUCCGGUGUGCGACGUCACUCAAUACAAGAAGAGGAAGAAAGCUCCUCGAAAAUUGCUGUGGUACUUUCCGAUCACUCCUCGUCUAUAGCGGUAUUUCGCGGACCCUAAGGUAGGAAAGCUCCUAAGUUGGCACGCGGAUAGGGAGGAGAAGAAGCGAGAAGAUGACGGAAAUGAUCCGGAGAUAAAUAAAAAAGACAAGAUGCUGAGUUACCCUAAGAAUGCGAGCCAGUGGCAAGCGUUGAACUUUGAACACCCAGAAUUUGGGGAAGAUCCAAGGAACAUCAUGCUGGGCGCGAGCACCGAUGGAGUCAAUCCGUUUGGCAGCCAGAGAAGCACACAUAGCACCUGGCCUGUGUUUGUGUGGAUGUACAACCUUCCCCCCUAGUUGUGCAUGAAGAGGAAGUACAUUCACAUGAGUAUGCUAAUUGAAGGGCCGAAACAACCAGGGAACGACAUCAAUCUGUAUCUGGGGCUGCUGAAAGAGGAGCUAGAAACACUGUGGAACACACCAGCCAAUACGUGGGACGCUGCAGAGAAAGAAUAUUUCCCUAUGAGAGCCGCACUGCUCACGACGGUGCACGACUAUCUCGGUUACGGAUAUGUCGCGGGACAGGUGGUCCACGGAUUUUUUGGAUGCGUCAGGUGCAUGGAUCACACGACGUAUCGCCAGCUAGAUAGAGAUCUCGGGUCUUCGAAAAUUGUGUUCAUGGGACAUCGAAGGUGGCUUCACGACGAUGACUCAUGGAGAAAACACAAGGAUCUGUUCGAUGGUGAAACCGAACCCCGAAGACGCCCGCGUACGAGGAGCGGCGAGGAAAUAGAUGAGCUGUUGAAAAAUUGGAAAGAGUGCCCACCGCCGGGAAAGAAGCGAAAGGCGCCAGAGCCGGGAAAGAAGCGAAGGACGCUAGAGCCACUGCUGAAGGUAUGGAAAACGAGGUCUGUUUUUUGGGACUUGCCGUACUGGAAGAUUCUCCGUGUGCCUCACAGCCUUGAUGUCAUGCAUAUCGCAUAGAACAUGUGUGAGAGUCUGCUUGGUACUUUGCUCAACAUGCCAGAGAGGACCAGGGAGGAGCAAGGGCAAACUUGAAAUCAAUGGGCAUCAGGGAGGAGCUUCACGCUAAUGAUGAUGAUGAUGAGGCGAAGGACACGGGAAGUCGUCGCAAAGGCAAAAAGGCCAAGAAGAUCGGAAAUGACUGCCCUCCUGCUUGCUUCACUCUAAGUCGGGAGGAGAUCGAGCAGUUUUUCACCUGCCUCGUAAGAGUAAAACUUCCUUAUGGUUACGCGGGGAAGAUAACAGAUACCUAGACUCACCGAAGCAGAAGUUCAGCGGGAUAAAGUCUCAUGACUGUCAUGUGCUGAUGACGCAAAUACUUCCAGUUGUAAUCCGUGGGAUCAUGGACGUGCACGUCCGUGAAACGCUAUUUGGCCUAUGCAACUUUUUCGACGUCAUCUCUUGGAAGUCGGUUGGCGUGAGGCAACUCAGAAGGCUACAGGAAGAGAUCAUGGUGAUACUAUGCGAGCUUGAGAUGUACUUCCCGCCCGCAUUCUUCAAUGUUAUGGUGCAUCUGCUAGUCCAUAUCAUGGAGGAUAUCAUCCAACAAGGGCCGAUGUUCCUGCAUAGCAUGAUGCCAUUCAAAAGGAUGAAUGGUGUCAUCAAAGGAUACGUUUGCAACAUGUCACGUCCAUAGGGAAUCAUAGCCAAGGGCUUUCUGACCGAAGAGUGCAUCUCCUACUGCAUGAAUUAUCUAGGCACCGAGAACCCCGUUGGUCUGCCCGUCAACAGGCACCUCGGCAGGCUCACUGGAUGGGGUCACCGCGAGGGUCGCCGCGAAAUGCAUGUCAACUUCAAGGGUUGACUCGCCGACUUUGAAAGAGCAAACCUAGUCGUGCUACAACACAUAGACAUGGUCGAUCCUUCGGUGGUAGAGCACAAUACCUUUAUUGAGAAGAUGUACAAUGACCGAGGCCAACACAGGAUAGACGGAGAUAUAAUCAAAGAGCACAACUCAUGUUUCACGCGUUGGUUCAAGGAGAAGCUUCUGUCGUACCCUUUACAUGAGGAUUCUUCCGCGGAAGAAAAACUCAUAUUCGCCUUGACAAAGGGCGUCGAGCACAACCUGAUGACCUAUGAGGCAUACGAUAUCAAUGGCUACACAUUCUACACCGAGGAAAAGGACAUGAAGGGCGAUGAUUAUCAGAACUCCGGGGUAACGAUGCAAUCCUACACCGGUAAUGAAAAGGACAGAUACUACGGAACGAUCGAGGAGAUCUGGGAGCUGAGCUACGCUGGAGAGAAGGUCCCGAUGUUUUGUGUCAGAUGGGCCAAGAGCGUCCUAAAAGAAGACCGGUAUUUCACCACCAUGGUUAUACCCGAAGCCAAAUCCAAGACCGCGGGUGCAAACGUCACCGCGAAAAAUGAGCCAUGGGUACUGGCUUCCCAAGUGGACCAAUGCUUCUUCAUUACCGACCCGUCAAAGCCCAGUCUUGUUAUCGCGAGGAGAGGCAAAAGGAAGAUCAUCGGAAUGGAUGGAGUCGCCAAUGAGCAAGACUUCGACAAGUACGGCGACCCGAAGAUGGAACAUGACGAUGAUGAUGAAGUACCAUACACCACAAGAAGAAGCAGGACCACCCUACCUAAAGGACGUCCGUUCAAGAGAAGAACUCCAUUUGCGAAAAAGAAGGGCAAGAAGAUUGUGAAAAGAUAGCUAAGCUCGAUUCAUGAUGUGUCCGCCGCGCGCGCGUGUGUGUGUGUCGGUGGCAAGCUCAAUUGUGUGUGAAAAGAUAGCUAAGAUUUCAGCCAUGUAAUCGAUCUAAUUCUAAAUCUUUGCAUAAUGGUUUAAAUUGUAGUCUUCAUUUCUUGAUUGUAUUUCGACAUAUGGAAAUGGCAUUUCUUCUGUUCUAGUCCUCUAUCCAGUAACCUCUUUUGUUCAAAAUUGUGGGGAUUAAUGUUUUCUUCUGGUAUUUUAAUUGUUUUUAUUUAUGUUUAUUCUGGUAAAAUAAAAAAAAGUUAGUAAUGGCGCACCAGGAGAAGGUGCGCCAUUGCUAUCAAGGUAUUUAUGGCGCACCCCCUAGGAGGUGCGUCAUUGAUAUACAAAUUUUUAUUUAUGUUUAUUCUGGUAUUUGGAACAUAGGGUCUCUGACAUGGAAGCUUCGGGAGCUAGUUGAUGCAGCGGUGAGGAGAGGUGUUGAUAUCCUUUGCGUCCAAGAAACCAAAUGGAGAGGACAGAAGGCGAAGGAGGUGGAGGAUACCGGCUUCAAGCUAUGGUACACGGGGAUGGCUGCAAACAGAAAUGGCGUAGGCAUCUUUAUCAACAAGAGCCUCAAGUAUGGAGUGGUAGACGUCAAGAGACGUGGGGACCGGAUUAUCCUGGUCAAGCUGGUAGUUGAGGACUUGGUUCUCAAUGUUAUCAGCGCGUAUUCCCCGCAAGUAGGCCACAAUGAGAACACCAAGAGGGAGUUCUGGGAAGGCCUGGAAGACAUGGUUAGGAGUGUACCGAUUGGUGAGAAGCUCUUCAUAGGAGGAGACCUCAAUGGCCACGUGGGUACAUCUAACACAAGUUUUGAAGGGGCGCAUGGGGGCUUUGGCUAUGGCAUCAGGAAUCAAGAAGGAGAAGAUGUCUUAAGCUUUGCUCUAGCCUACAACAUGAUUGUAGCCAACACCCUCUUUAGAAAGAGAGAAUCACAUCUGGUGACUUUUAGUAGUGGCCAACACUCUAGCCAGAUUGAUUUCAUCCUCUCGAGAAGGGAAGAUAGGCGUGCGUGCCUAGACUGUAAGGUGAUACCUGGAGAGAGUGUUGUACCCCAGCAUAAGCUGGUGGUUGCUGACUUCCGCUUUCGGAUUCAUGUCCAGCGGGCUAAGCGGGCUAAAGUCGCUAGAACGAAGUGGUGGAAGCUCAAGGGGAGGUAGCUCAGGCGUUCAAGGAGAGGGUCAUUAAGGAGGGCCCUUGGGAGGAAGGAGGGGAUGCGGAAAAUGUGUGGAUGAAGAUGGCGACUUGCAUUCGUAAGGUGGCCUCACAGGAGUUUGGAGUUUCCAGGGGAAGGAGAAGCGAAGAUAAGGAUACUUGGUGGUGGAAUGAUGAUGUCCAGAAGGCGAUUAAAGAGAAGAAAGAUUGCUUCAAACACCUAUACCUGGAUAGGAGUGCACACAACAUAGAGAAGUACAAGAUGGUGAAGAAGGCCGCAAAGCGAGCUGUUGGUGAAGCAAGGGGUCGGGCGUAUGAGGACCUCUACCAACGGUUAGGCACGAAGGAAGGCGAAAGGGACAUCUAUAAGAUGGCCAAGAUCCGAGAGAGGAAGACGAGGGAUAUUGGCCAAGUCAAAUGCAUCAAGGACGGAGCAGGCCAACUCUUGGUGAAGGACGAGGAGAUUAAGCAUAGAUGGCGGGAGUACUUCGACAAGCUGUUCAAUGGGGAGAAUGAAAGCUCUACCAUUGAACUGGACGACUCGUUUGAUGAGACCAGCAUGCGUUUUGUGCGUCGAAUCCAGGAGUCUGAGUUCAAGGAGGAUUUAAAAGGAUGAAGGGAGGCAAGGCGAUGGGCCCGGAUUGUAUCCCCAUUGAGGUGUGGAAAUGUCUCGGGACAUAGCGAUAGUAUGGCUAACCAAGCUUUUCAACCUCAUUUUUCGGGCAAACAAGAUGCCAGAAGAAUGGAGACGGGGUAUAUUAGUACCAAUCUUCAAGAACAAGGGGGAUGUUCAGAGUUGUACUAAUUACCGUGGAAUUAAGCUGAUGAGCCAUACAAUGAAGCUAUGGGAGAGAGUCAUUGAGCACCGCUUAAGAAGAAUGACAAGCGUGACCAAAAACCAGUUUGGUUUCAUGCCUGGGAGGUCGACCAUGGAAGCCAUUUUCUUGGUACGACAGCUUAUGGAGAGAUAUAGGGAGCAAAAGAAGGACUAGCAUAUGGUGUUCAUUGACUUGGAGAAGGCCUAUGAUAAGAUACCGCGGAAUGUCAUGUGGUGGGACUUGGAGAAACACAAAGUCCCAGCAAAGUACAUUACCCUCAUCUAGGACAUGUACGAUAAUGUUGUGACAAGUGUUCGAACAAGUGAUGUCGACACUGAUGACUUCCCGAUUAAGAUAGGACUGCAUCAGGGGUCAGCUUUGAGCCCUUAUCUUUUCGCAUUGGUGAUGGAUGAGGUCACAAGGGAUAUACAAGGAGAUAUCCCAUGGUGUAUGCUCUUUGCGGAUGAUGUGGUGCUAGUUGACGAUAGUCGGGCGGGGGUAAAUAGGAAGUUAGAGUUAUGGAGACAAACCUUGGAAUCGAAAGGGUUUAGGCUUAGUAGGACUAAAACCAAGUACAUGAUGUGCAGUUUCAGUACUACUAGGUGUGAGGAGGAGGAGGUUAGCCUUGAUGGUCAGGUGGUACCUCAGAAGGACACCUUUCGGUAUUUGGGGUCAAUGUUGCAGGAGGAUGGGGGUAUUGAUGAAGAUGUGAACCAUCGGACCAAAGCCGGAUGGAUGAAGUGGCGCCAAGCUUCUGGCAUUCUCUGUGACAAGAGAGUGCCACAAAAGCUAAAAGGCAAGUUCUACAGGAUGGCGGUUCGACCCGCAAUGUUGUAUGGCGCUGAGUGUUGGCCGACUAAAAAGGCGACAUGUUCAAUAGUUAGGUGUGGCGGAGAUGCGUAUGUUGAGAUGGAUGUGUGGCCACACGAGGAAGGAUCGAGUCCGGAAUGAUGAUAUACGAGAUAGAGUUGGGGUAGCUCCAAUUGAAGAGAAGCUUGUCCAACAUCGUCUGAGAUGGUUUGGGCAUAUCCAGCGCAGGCCUCCAGAAGCUCCAGUGCAUAGAAGAUGGCUAAAGCGUGUGGAGAAUGUCAAGAGAGGGCGGGGUAGACUGAAUUUGACAUGGGAGGAGCCCGUUAAGAGAGACCUGAAGGAUUGGGGUAUCACCGAAGAGCUAGCUAUGGACAGGGGUGCAUGGAAGCUUGUUAUCCAUGUGCCAGAGCCAUGAGUUGGUUGCGAGAUCUUAUGGGUUUCACCUCUAGCCUACCCCAACUUGCUUGGGACUAAAGGCUUUGUUGUUGUUGUUGUUGUUGUUGUUGUUGUUGUUGUUGUUGUUGUUGUUGUUGUUGUUGUUGUUGUUGUAUUUUAUUUUUCAGUGUUCCUUUUCCUGCUUAAAUUUGCAAACAUUUUUUUAACUCACAAAAAGUAUUGAAUUUGUUAAUAUUCUUUGAACUCAUGAAUAUUUUUAAAUUUCAUGGGCACUUUUUGAAUUCAUGAAUAUUUUUUCAAAUUUGAUGAUAUUUUUCAUAUUCAUAAAUGUUUUACCAAUUCACAAAUGUUUUGCAACGCUAGAGAUUUGAAAAUUAGUAAUAACUACUUAUAUCGUAACAUUUAAAAAAUUAUGGUCAUUUUCUAAAGAAUUAUUACAUGCAACUAAAAAUCCAAAAAAAGUUAGUAAUGGCGCACUAGGGGAAGGUGCGCCAUUGCUAUCAUGGUGCUUAUGGCGCACCCUAGAAGGUGCGCCAUUGGUAUACGUAUGUUUAUGGCGCACCCCUAAAAGGUGCGCCAUUGCUAACCCUCCCCCACUCCACUUGCUCCCCUCUCCCUCUGGCCUCUCUCCCUCCCUCGCCAGAUCCACCUCGCCCCACACCUAACCCAACGACCCCCGCGGGAGCACGCCGCCGUCCGCCUGUGCCCGCUCCACCGCCGCCGCCCUGCCUCCUCGGGCCCCUCCUCCCCACUUGCCCCCUCGCGCUUCCCCUUGCCCUCUCCACCCUCUCCUCUCCCCUAGAGCCCAGAAAGCCUCUCCGCCGUCGCCCCGUCCCAGACAACCACCUCUGCACAUCGGUCACCGGACACGGGGAGACACCAGCCCUAUACGAGCCGGACAGCCACACGCGGAUCCAGCACGGGUUUGGACUCGGCUCCGCCCCCGCCCCCGUCUUCCUCAACUCCGGACACCUCAACUCCGGUCUCUGCUCCACCUCUGCUUGCCGCUGCACCUCCCUGGUGAGCUCCGCCUCCUCUCCGCAGUGAUUUAGUCGGUAGGAUAGUGGUCAAAGCAGUGGACGAUGGUGAAGGUCGGAUUCGCCAUGUAUUUAGGAACCUGUUUGGGUGCUUUGGCCGGGGCGGCCGGCCUGAGAGUUCCUUGCAGUCCCGUAGUGGCUGAGCAAUGUUCUUCAUGGUAACUCAUUUUCAAUUGAUGAUAGUGGUGAAUAAGUAGGAGUUAGUAUAAGGAGGAAACCCCAGGUGAUGAGUUCUUGGUUAGUUUGAUGUAAAUGAAGGGCUUGCAUUCCCCCCCUUUUGUCUCGUUUUAAGAAUUUAGAGUUGGCCAUGAGCAAACUAGUCAGAAAUGAAAUUUUAUAGCAAAUCAGGAAGAACAAGCCCAAGCCUUGAAGAAUGGGAUAGCAGUGAAUUAUGGGGGAAAUCAGUCACUCGCAAUAUUCUAGGCAAAGAGAACAAUUGGU